UACGUAGGGUGCAAGCGUUGUCCGGAAUUAUUGGGCGUAAAGAGCUCGUAGGCGGUUUGUCGCGUCGAAUGUGAAAACCCGGGGCUCAACCCCGGGCCUGCAUUCGAUACGGGCAGACUUGAGUUCGGUAGGGGAGACUGGAAUUCCUGGUGUGCGGUGAAAUGCGCAGAUAUCAGGAGGAACACCGGUGGCGAAGGCGGGUCUCUGGGCCGAUAACUGACGCUGAGGAGCGAAAGCGUGGGGAGCAAACGGG
rnacentral:rRNA from 1 species